AUCCAGUUGACGAGUCCCAAAUAGGACGAAAUGUGCGUCAAACUGGAU
rnacentral:hammerhead_ribozyme from 1 species